AUGGAAAAGAUUCUGGGAGCAUCAGUUCUAGUCCUAGGACUUCAUUGGACAUGGGUGGACGGACAGCAGAAGAAAAAUGACCAGCAACAGGUGAAACAAAAUCCUCAGUGGCUGACAGUACAGGAGAGAGAGACUUCAGUGCUGAACUGCACAUAUGAGAACAGUGUAUUUGACUACUUCCCGUGGUACCAGCAGCUCCCUGGCAAAGGGCUUGAAUUACUGAUAGCCAUACGUUCCGUUGAGAAUGAAAAGGAAGAUGGGAGAUUCAAAGUGCUCUUCAGAAAAGCUGACCGGAAGCUCUCUUUGCACAUCAAGGAUUCUCAACCUGAAGACUCAGCUGCCUACUUCUGUGCAGCCAACACACAGAGCUCUGCAGGCACCUGCAGCCUGUGCACAAACUGGCCCUGCUGCUCCAGCAAAGGGAAGUGGGGGCGGGGAAGGAAUAGAAAAGAAAAACAAAUGGAAACAUCUUUGUGA